rnacentral:tRNA from 1 species
UGGCUCAGUUGGUAGAGCAUGGUGCUAUUAAUGUCAGGGUAGUGGGUUCAAUUCCCAU